UCCGGUUUGAAUACAUGUGUUUUCUGACUUUUCGGAUAUCCAGCCAACUCUUGUUUUUUGGAACUUACGACUUAUGGCAAGAGAGAAGAAAACUGUGUGACUUUAAAAGAAAACCAGUGAGAUAAAAUCAUAGAAAAUGUAUGAUGAUUCAGGAUGUGGUCAUUUGGUCCUGUUCUGUGGAUGCCCUAAGACAGUGUCUACCCAUCACUCCAUCUGAAAUCACUUGUUCUGUGCAUAUUUCUCUCUCAAACUUAAACUACAGAGAGCCUGUGGAUAGAGGAUGAAGAGUGACCUUGGACUAAUUUUCUAGGUCAAAGAUCAUAGGUGAUGAGAAGAAAACCAGGAAACUGAUGUUGAAAGAAGUACUUAAUGACCCUUAUGAAUGGACAUUUAUGUGAAAGACUGUUC